rnacentral:rRNA from 1 species
AUUGAACGCUGGCGGCAGGCCUAACACAUGCAAGUCGAGCGGAUGAAGGGAGCUUGCUCCUGGAUUCAGCGGCGGACGGGUGAGUAAUGCCUAGGAAUCUGCCUGGUAGUGGGGGAUAACGUCCGGAAACGGGCGCUAAUACCGCAUACGUCCUGAGGGAGAAAGUGGGGGAUCUUCGGACCUCACGCUAUCAGAUGAGCCUAGGUCGGAUUAGCUAGUUGGUGGGGUAAAGGCCUACCAAGGCGACGAUCCGUAACUGGUCUGAGAGGAUGAUCAGUCACACUGGAACUGAGACACGGUCCAGACUCCUACGGGAGGCAGCAGUGGGGAAUAUUGGACAAUGGGCGAAAGCCUGAUCCAGCCAUGCCGCGUGUGUGAAGAAGGUCUUCGGAUUGUAAAGCACUUUAAGUUGGGAGGAAGGGCAGUAAGUUAAUACCUUGCUGUUUUGACGUUACCAACAGAAUAAGCACCGGCUAACUUCGUGCCAGCAGCCGCGGUAAUACGAAGGGUGCAAGCGUUAAUCGGAAUUACUGGGCGUAAAGCGCGCGUAGGUGGUUCAGCAAGUUGGAUGUGAAAUCCCCGGGCUCAACCUGGGAACUGCAUCCAAAACUACUGAGCUAGAGUACGGUAGAGGGUGGUGGAAUUUCCUGUGUAGCGGUGAAAUGCGUAGAUAUAGGAAGGAACACCAGUGGCGAAGGCGACCACCUGGACUGAUACUGACACUGAGGUGCGAAAGCGUGGGUAGCAAACAGG